rnacentral:misc_RNA from 1 species
CCAAAAUUUGUCAACCUUUCGAAACUAGCAUAGAUUAAAAUAAAAAAGUUAUUUUUUGGUUAUAUAUGAAAAGACUAAAAGGCAACCGUACAUAUACGGUAAGGCAACCAUUAUCACCAAAAUCUUCAUGUCACUCCAAUUAAACAACCGAGCGAACAGACAAGCUCAAAGAAAACUAUCCUCACAAAAGGAAUAGUUCAUAAAACAACUCACUCGAUUUUCUAAUCGGGUACUAGAAAACCAACUAAACAAAGUUGCUUGGUAUUAUCAUCGCACUACUUCAAAAUGCAUUUUUUGCAGCAUAUUACUCCUGAAUCAACUACUUGACUGUUGCACAAGGCCUUCCUGAAAUGAUCAAAGUCUAGCAUUCAAAUCAACAGCGACCACUGCCAAUUUUAUUCUGAAGCAAGGUUGUGACUGCUGCCUAAUGGCAAGCUAAUGAUCAGCUUCAGCCUUUGAUUCAUUACUAUCAGCAACUCCAACAAACCCCAAUGUACCUUGCCACUUAUAAGUUAUAACUCUGCCAAGAAACUGCAGCUUUACGUUUCAUCCUAUGUGCCCAGAUGCUGCUCCGGCUGUUCCACUUUCGGACCUCACUGAGAGAGAAUGUGCUUUUUCCUCCAUCUUUGUCCCGCAUUUGAGGUGCAAAAAAAGGCGGGUCUUGCCCCAGCCACUGCUAUCCUUGGAAAAUUAAGAGAACCACUGAGGGAUAAGGAUGCAGUCUCCGCCCUUGGAGUCGAAAAAGUAGACAAGAAGACAUCCCUCGCACUAGUUUUUUUGCUUUCUGCACCCUUUGCAGCAGAUAGACUCUUCAACCCAGGAGACAUUCCAGUUUGAUGGCCAACCACUGCACAAGCAGCAGCUGGUCCAGGCGAGGAGUAUACUACCUUUCUUUGAUCACCUUCCCUAGAUAGGGAGGAGAGUGAAAAUAGGCCACGCAUAGUGGUUGUGGUGGGUUCAAGAAUCUUCUGUGGUGGAACAAAUUCUUCUACUGCCCUGAAUUUCUUCCGGAAGUGAAGGGGUCCACCCUCAACCCAUCGUACAAGAGCUAUCCGAGAGGAGCGAUUAGGGUCAUACUCUAUCCUUUCUAUAACACCCAUAGAUGAUG